rnacentral:lncRNA from 1 species
CGCGGACGCGAACUUCCGGCGGAAGCGGAAGCGGGCUUUAAAAAAGGCGGGAAAAAAAGGCGCAGGGCGCCGCCAUGACACCCCAGCGCUUCCUUAGGGUUCAUUAAUUGCUUCCCGUUAAUUAACGCCAAUUCGCGUUUAUUUCAUUAGUUCCCAUCAAUUACGGGCUGUUGCUGUCUUUUAUUUCCCAUUUAUUCUCGUUGUUCCCCGUUGGCUCUCGCUACCAUUUGCUGUUCAUUUCUAAUUGCCCAUUAAUUACUAUUGUUUCUUAUUAAUUGCCAUUACUUGCUAUUAAUUUCUAUUAUUGCCAAUUAAUUCUUAUUAUUUCCCGUUAAUUCUUAUUGCUUCCCACUAACUCUCAUUAUUUUCCACAUAAUUGCCAUUAUUUCCCAAUUAAUUGCCUUAUUUCCCAAUUAAUUGCCAUUAUUUCCCAAUUAAUUGCCUUAUUUCCCAAUUAAUUGCCGUUGUUUCCCAAUUAAUUGCCACUAUUUCUCAAUUAAUUGCCAUUAUUUCCCAAUUAAUUGCCAUUAUUUCCCAAUAAAUUGCCUUAUUUCCCAAUUAAUUGGCAUUAAUUCCCAAUUAUUCCCCAUUAAUUCCCCAUCAUUGCCCAUUAAUUCUCAUUAAUUAUCGCUAUUAAUUGCCGUUCCUUCUCGUUUUCUUUUACCAGCCGUAAUUAAUCCUCAUUUUCCCUCAUUAAUUGCUCUUAAUUCUCAUUUCCGCCUCUAAUUCUCGUUCCCAUUAAUCUCCAUCUGCUCCCAUUAAUCCCCAUUAAUUGGGAUUGGUCCCUAUUAAUUCCCAUUAAUGCCUAUUAAUUGUCAUUAACCUCUAUUAAUUCCUAUUAAUCCCUAUUAAUUGGGAUUGAUCUCUAUUAGUUCCCAUUAACAUUAAUGGGAAUUAAUUGCCAUUAACCUCUAUUAAUUGGUAUUAAUCCCUAUUAAUUCCGAUUGAUCUCUAUUAAUUCCCAUUAACCCCCAUUAAUUCGGAUUGAUCUCUAUUAAUGCUAAUUAACUCUUAUUAAUUCCCAUCGGUUCCCGUUGGCUCUCAUUACUUCCCAUUAAUUGUCAUUAAUUCCCCUGUUUUAUGCCUUUAAUUCUCAUUAAUUUCUAUUAGUUCUCAUUAUUUUUUGUCUCAUUAAUUUCCAGAUUACUUCCUGUUAAUUACUGCUAAUUAUGUUCCGUUUGUCUUAAUUCUCGCCCUCAUUACCCCCAUUAUCUCCCAGCGCUCCCACUGAUCUCAAUUAGCAACUGAUCCCAAUUAAUUCCACUCCUACUGCUGCUCAUUAAUGCUCAUUAAUUAUUCUCUCAUUUUUCCCAUUGAUUUCCCACAGCUUAAUCUCAAUUAGUUCUAUUAAUUGUCAUUAUCUCUCAUUAAUACAGAUUAAUCAUUAUUAUUCCGCAUAAUUUCCAUUAGUUCCCAUUGAUUUUUAUUAAUCCCAAUUAAUCCUAUUAGCUCCCAUCGGCUGUCAUUAAUAUUAAUGAAUUAUUCCCCAUUCCUCUCCAUUACUUCCAUUGAUUCUUAUUAAUCGCAAUUAAUUCUAUUAAUUCCCAUCGGCUCUCAUUAAUACCGAUAAAUCAUUAUUAUUCCCCAUUAUCUCCUAUUGCUAUCAUUAAUCCUAAUUAACCCUAUUAACUUUCCUCGGUUCUCAUUAAUAGCGAUAAAUUAUUUCCUAUUACUCUAUUUCUAUUAGCUUCUAUUCGUUCCUAUUAAUCUCAAUUAAUCUUAUUAGCUCGCAUUAGCUCAUUAAUACCGACAACUCAUUAUUAUUCCCCAUUAUUUCCAUUAUUUCCUAUUGACUUUUAUUAACCCCAAUUAAUUCUAUUAACCCCCACCGGCUCUCAUUAGUAGCCAUUAAUUACUCCCCAUUCCUCUCCAUUUGCCAUUGCUUCCUAUUGAUUGCUAUUACCCCCAAUUAAUUCUAUUACCCCCCAUCGGCUCUCAUUAAUAGCCAUUAAUUAUUCCCCAUUACUCUCCAUUAUUUCCAUUGCUUCCUAUUGAUUGCUAUUAACCCCAAUUAAUUCCAUUAACUCCCAUUAGCUCUCAUUAGCACUGAUAACUCAUUAUUACUCCCCAUUAUUUCCCAUUCUGUUCUAUUGGUUUCUAUUAAUGCCAAUUAACCUUAUUAACUCUCAUUGCCUCUCAUUAAUUAUUCCCCAUUACUCUCUAUUAUUUCCAUUGCUUCCUAUUGACUCCUAUUAAUCCCAAUUAAUUCUAUUAACCCCCAUCGGCUCUCAUUAAUAGCCAUUAAUUAUUCCCCAUUCCUCUCCAUUAUUUCCAUUGCUUCCUAUUAAAUCCUAUUAAUCGCAAUUAAUUCUAUUAACCAUUGCUUCCUAUUGAUUGCUAUUAACCCCAAUUAAUUCUAUGAACUCCCAUUAGCUCUCAUUAGCACUAAUAAAUCAUAAUUAUUCCCCA